rnacentral:rRNA from 1 species
GCUCCAAUAGCGUAUAUUAAAGUUGCUGCAGUUAAAAAGCUCGUAGUUGGAUUUCUGGCUUGAAACAUUUUGCCGGCCACGGUUUCGUGUGUUAGUGCUUGAUGUUCUGGCCAUCCUUCCAAUCGCCAUUGGCUUGUCUUCAUUGAUUGGUCAGUGGUAUUGGAUCUUUUACUUUGAAAAAAUUAGAGUGUUUCAAGCAG